rnacentral:misc_RNA from 1 species
AAGGUUUCCGUAGGCUGCGGAAGGAUCAUUAACAUGACACUUUCAGACACUAACUGCUUCACUUGCUUCGCACAACAUGCACGCUCCUUGCAGACAUCUCUGAAUCGAAAACUGUUCGGCGAUGAUUUACCAGGGAUUGCUGCUUUUUCUACGGACGUACGAGUACAGGUGAAGGUUCACAGGGGGGUUUAACGUUCGGAUGUAAGGAUGACGCAAUCACGAUCGUUGGAGGCCCACACGGCCGACGACCGGGUCACUGGGCGCAAGCCCCCCUAGAAAACAAACGCUGCUAAUCGCGGCCGCGAUAAUACGCAGUCGACCAAAAACCGAACAACUGUUAACAAUGGAUAUCUUGGUUCUC